GAUGAAGAACGUAGCGAAAUGCGAUAAGUAAUGUGAAUUGCAGAAUUCAGUGAAUCAUCGAAUCUUUGAACGCACCUUGCGCCCUUUGGCUAUUCCGAAGGGCAUGCCUGUUUGAGUAUCAUGAACACCUCAACUCUCGUGGUUUGCUACGAUGAGCUUGGACUUUGGGGGUUUUGCUGGCCUGUGGUCGGCUCCUCUCAAAUGAAUCAGCUUCCCAGCGUUUGGUGGAGUCGCAGGUGUGAUAACUAUCUACGCUUGUGGUUUUUCGCCAGAUAACCUUUGGUGACGGAGGUUCGUUGGGGCGCAUAAAUGUCUCUCCUCAGUGAAGACAGCUUUUGAACGUUUGAUCUCAAAUCAGGUAGGACUACCCGCUGAACUUAAGCAUAUCAAUAGGCGGAGGA
rnacentral:misc_RNA from 1 species